AAAAAUAUUUUAACCAUAUGGUCCUUUCGUACUAAUAUGGAUUAACAAUCUUAGGAUAGAAACCGACCUGGCUCAUGCCGGUCUGAACUCAGAUCAUGUAAGAAUUUAAAGGUCGAACAGACCUAAUCAUUGGGCUCCUGCACCCAAAACUUUUCUUAAUCCAACAUCGAGGUCGCAAUCUGCUUUGUCGAUAUGAGCUCUCAAAAACAAUUACGCUGUUAUCCCUAAGGUAACUUAAUCUUAUGAUCAUAAAUUAUGGAUCAAAAUAACAAACAUAAGUAAAUCACAUAAUAAUGAAGAGUUUAUCUAUUCUUCAUGUCACCCCAACAAAACAUCAUCAUUAAAUAUAGAAAGACAAACAAAAAACUAUAUAAAAGUAAAAUGUCAAGCUCUAUAGGGUCUUCUCGUCCUAAAGAAGAAUUUAAGCCUUUUGACUCAAAAGUUAAAUUCAAAAAUUUAUUAAGAGACAGUUGAUUUCUCGUCAAGCCAUUCAUUCCAGCCACAAAUUAAGAGACUAAUGAUUAUGCUACCUUUGCACGGUCAAAAUACCGCGGCUCUUUAAAAAUACGCUCAGUGAGCAGGCCAGACCUCAAAAUAUAAACAAGAGGACAUGUUUUUGAUAAACAGGCGGAAAUCAAUUUUGCCUAGUUCCUUAUAAUAAGUUCACAAGGUAAAAAUUUCAUACAAAUAAAUAUACUAAUUCUAUCAUUAUUACAAAAAUUUUAAAAUUAAAUUAAUAAUCUUAAUAAAAAACCUAAAAUAUUUAUAAAAUGAAAAUAAAAAAUAAUGAACUAAAACGUAAUCUUAAAGAUAGCUGGUUUAAAGCUUACUAUUAUAUUUCUAUAAAAUAAAUUAUAGGUUAUUAACUUCAAAGCUUAUCCCUUAAAGAAUAAAUAAGUUAAUAUUUUUACUUAAAAAAUUAAAUAAAAACAAAUAACUUUAAAAAAUUAAAUUUUUUGUUAAGAAACUAGAUAUAUUGGGAAACGAUAAACAUCUCAUUUCUAUAAAUAAUUUAAAAAUAAUUAUGAUACAUUAACUAUAAAUUAUUUAUAAAUCAACCCAAAUCGAGACAAGUAAAAUAAAUUCUAAAAUUUUGAUAAACCCUGAUACAAAAGGUACAAUAAAUAAAAUCUACUUAAAAAAA